rnacentral:tRNA from 1 species
GCCUGGCUGGCUCAGUGGUAGAGCAAGUGACUCUUGAUCUCAGGGUUGUGAGUUCAAGCUCCACAUCAGGUA